rnacentral:rRNA from 1 species
UACGGAGGGUGCAAGCGUUAUCCGGAAUCAUUGGGUUUAAAGGGUCCGUAGGUGGACCUUUAAGUCAGUGGUGAAAUUCUGCGGCUCAACCGCAGGACUGCCAUUGAUACUGAAGGUCUUGAAUUGUUGUGAAGUAGCUGGAAUAUGUGGUGUAGCGGUGAAAUGCAUAGAGAUCACAUAGAACACCGAUUGCGAAGGCAGGCUACUAACAAUUGAUUGACACUGAGGGACGAAAGCGUGGGGAGCGAACAGG